rnacentral:lncRNA from 1 species
GUUUGUUGUUGUUGUUUUUUUUUUGUUUUUUUUGUUUUUUUUAUCAUUUUACACAAUACACUUUCCAGUAUCCAAAUAAUUGUUUGUACCUUACUAUAUAUUGUUUUUCACUGAAAACGUACAACUGAGGUGUAUUUUUCGGAAUUUGUCGAGUAUCGUGGAAAGCCAUGUGAUAAUGUUACGGAAAGGCAUGUGCUAAUAAUCGAAGCAUGUGAUAAAUUUUUC